GGUAUAGCUCAAAUGGUAGAGCACAUGCUUAGCAUGCAUUAGGUCCUGGGCUGAAUCCCCAGUACC
rnacentral:tRNA from 1 species